rnacentral:snRNA from 1 species
GUACUCACCUGGCCGGGGAGAUACCAUGAUCACGAAGGUGGUUUUCCCAGGGCGAGGCUUAUCCAUUGCACUCCGGAUGUGCUGACCCCUGCGAUUUCCCCAAAUGUGGGAAACUCGACUGCAUAAUUUGUAGUAAUGAGAGACUGUGUUCGCGCUUUA